CUCCCCCGGCCGUGGCCUGGGCUGGGGCCUGCCUGCUCGCCACCACGGGGUCGCAGGCUGGGGCCCCAGCACCUGACCACGGCUCUUCCCGGUGGGCUGGGCCGGCUCUGCGCGGUUACAGCGCCUUCCUGGCACGCAGGAGCCUGAGCUCCAUGCCCGGCCCAGCGUCAGCGCGUUGGCACGGGCGAUGCGUGCCUUGCAUUCCAGCAGCCCCGGAGACUGAGGCAGGAGGACAGCUUUGAUCCUGAAGCCAUCUGGGCUACAUACAAAACCUUGUCUCCAAAUUAGAAAAACAAAACAGGACUGAGACUCAGACUGUGCUCCAGUGGCCAGGGUCCUGGCCCCACCCCAGCACAAUGACCCCAGGGCCCAGUGGCACAAACUUGCCAUCCCAGCACUUGCGAGGGCCGCGAGUUCAAGGUCGUCGUCCCCUACACAGUGAGUCUGAGUUCAGCCUGGGCUGCAGGAGACCCUAUCUCUCCGCAGCCACAUCAGAGUCCUCUGUGGAACAGCCCCCCCUUCCGUCUGGUCCCCUCACUCCCUUCUGCACACGCCGGCUCAGAGAGCCGUCCUGGCUGCACGCAGCGCACCCCAGCCGGCGCCAAACCUACAAGCCAGUGUUGACUACUCUGCAGCUCUGGCCUCUGCUGUGGCCUGAGGCGGUGCCCACAUGGGAGCCAGGUCGCCUGGCCGGCCUGGUCGGUUGGGGUGUGCCCACUGGCUCCUGCUGACUCCAAGGCAGACAAGACUCUAAAUAUAGCCCGGGAGGAGACGGCAUAGUACUUUCCAUGCCUAUUUUUAGCUGCUUUGGGGAUCCCUCCGCCCAGCCUGGCUAGCCAGCCGGCUUCUCCUCCUCCUCCUCCCAGCUGGCUGACCCAGAGCCGGUCUCACAUAUCGCAGAGUGGGCACAGCACCCUGCCCUGGUGCUAGCCUCAAGGGUUGUCAAGAAUGCCCGAAGCUUCCUUUGACUGAGGGAUAGCUUGUCUCCAUAGACACCUUGGAACAGUUUCUUCAUCUCUGUGGGCCUCCUUUCAGGACGUGACCUGGAAAUCACAAUGGAGCACAUGAUUUGAUAAGGAAUGUAUGUAUUAGAUACCUUAAUAUCUGGCUCAGAGGACUGAGCCAUCCUCUCGGGGAAAAAGGCACAUUCACACACCUAAGUACCUAGUACUAAGUACUAAGCACUGUGGCACUUAGUAUCCUAGAGUUCAGUGCCCGGGUACCCGAGCCCAGCUGAGGGGAACCUCCUGGGGUCUCCAGCCUUACAGCCAGUAAGGACCAGGCCUCCUAGUCUGUGGGGGAUCCCAAGAGGCAGAGCAGGAAACAGGCCCUAGAAUGGGCUCCCAGGGUCUCAUGACUGGUGACACGCAGGCCAGCACACGCUCCUGGCUGGCCGUUGAUGAUGACCCACUCCAUAUGCCAUGGCUGCGUUGGUCAUUCUGCAGCCAUGUGGUCUCAUUCAGUGGGGCGGGGGGUGGCUGGCCGCAGGACCACUCUGCCAUGGGUGGUCUCACACCCGGCCUCAGUGUCCAUGCUCAGGAUAACACAAUCUUGUUUGGCUUUGUUUUGAGAGCGUCUUGCUCCACAGCCCUGGCCGAUGUGGUAUGUACUCUGCUGGCCUGCAACUUGUGGCCAUCCUCCUGCCUCUGCCUCCAGAGGGCUUGGAAGACAGCUGUGCCACCAUGGCAGGGGCAGAGGUUAGCUGAGCCGGUGAUGCUGUGUGAAUUGUAUGGACCCCAGCCGCCACAAAAACAGCAGGGCGGAGCAGCUCAUGCGGGUAAACCCAGGAGGGUCCAGCCUUCAGAGGUGGUCCCUAGGCCUGGCCCCUAAGAGCCCCAGGGCCUGGGUAUGCCUGCCUCUGCUCUUGCCCCUCAGCUGCUCUGAGCCCGGCUCCGGGAAGCAGGAUCAGGAGGCUGAAGUGAUGAGGCUCCUUCGGAGAAAAGAGCCGGAUCCCCACCCCUGGGGCUUAGAAGAAAGGAAGCGGGCACCUAACGAACGCGCAGCCCUGCAGGGCCGGAGACAGGCUCAUCUUCAAAGAAAAGGGCCGGAAGUGCAGAGGAAACUGCCAGCCGGAGGGGGAAGUCAGGGCUAGUCUUACCUCAGCAGGGCUCGCCC